GUGAGGAAUUUUCCGCAAUGGGCGAAAGCCUGACGGAGCAAUGCCGCGUGAAGGAUGAAGGCCUAUGGGUUGUAAACUUCUUUUCUCAGAAAAGAAUUAUGACGGUAUCUGAGGAAUAAGCAUCGGCUAACUCUGUGCCAGCAGCCGCGGUAAGACAGAGGAUGCAAGCGUUAUCCGGAAUGAUUGGGCGUAAAGCGUCUGUAGGUUGUUUAAAAAGUAUUCUGUCAAAGAUUAGGGCUUAACCCUAGAUAGGCAGAAUAAACUUUUAAGCUAGAGUUUGGUAGAGGCAGAGGGAAUUCCCGGGGGAGCGGUGAAAUGCGUAGAUAUCGGGAGGAACAACAAAGGCGAAGGCACUCUGCUGGGCCAAUACUAACACUGAGAGACGAAAGCGAGGGGAGCAAAUGGGAUUAGAUACCCCUGUAGUCC
rnacentral:rRNA from 1 species